rnacentral:rRNA from 1 species
GAUGAACGCUGGCGGCGUGCCUAACACAUGCAAGUCGAGCGAACCCUUCGGGGGGUGAGCGGCGGACGGGUGAGUAACGCGUGGGUAACCUGCCCUGUACACACGGAUAACAUACCGAAAGGUAUGCUAAUACGAGAUAAUAUGUAAUGAUCGCAUGGUUAAUACAUCAAAGCUCCGGCGGUACAGGAUGGACCCGCGUCUGAUUAGCUAGUUGGUGAGGUAAUGGCUCACCAAGGCGACGAUCAGUAGCCGACCUGAGAGGGUGAUCGGCCACAUUGGAACUGAGACACGGUCCAAACUCCUACGGGAGGCAGCAGUGGGGAAUAUUGCACAAUGGGCGAAUGCCUGAUGCAGCAACGCCGCGUGAGCGAUGAAGGCCUUCGGGUCGUAAAGCUCUGUCCUCAAGGAAGAUAAUGACGGUACUUGAGGAGGAAGCCCCGGCUAACUAC